rnacentral:rRNA from 1 species
UAUUUUGACUAUACGAAGGUAUUGAAAUAAGGCUUUAAAUGAGUGCUAAGAGAAUGGUUGAACAAUUAUGGGCUUUCUUUAAUUAAUAAAUUGAAUUUAAUGUUUUUGUGAAGAAGCAAAAAUGAUAAUUAGGGACAAGAAGACCCUAUGAAUUUUUAAACUGAAAUUAUUAUUUGUAUGAUUUUUCAGUUUUAAUUGGGGCGAUGAGAAAAGAAUAUUUAUCUUUUUUUUAAUAAGUUAAUUUGAUCCAUUAAUAAUGAUUAAAUGAUUUAAAUACUCUAGGGAUAACAGCGUAAUAAUUUCGGAUAGUUCAUAUAGAUGAAAUAGUUUGCGACCUCGAUGUUGGAUUAGGAUACUUUUUUGGUGGAGAAAUUAAUAUGAAGAAGUUUGUUCAACUUUUAAAAUCC